GAUGAACGCUAGCUACAGGCUUAACACAUGCAAGUCGAGGGGCAUCAUGAUCUUAGCUUGCUAAGAUUGAUGGCGACCGGCGCACGGGUGAGUAACGCGUAUCCAACCUUCCCCUUAGUAGAGGAUAGCCCGGCGAAAGUCGGAUUAAUACUCUAUGUUGUUUGAAGCGGACAUCUAAAUCAAACCAAAGAUUCAUCGCUAAGGGAUGGGGAUGCGUCUGAUUAGGUUGUAGGCGGGGUAACGGCCCACCUAGCCGACGAUCAGUAGGGGUUCUGAGAGGAAGGUCCCCCACACUGGUACUGAGACACGGACCAGACUCC
rnacentral:rRNA from 1 species